UUAAGUUUUUUAUUUAUGCCUCUUUUUAACUUACCACAGUAAUAAAUGUUCACCACAGAAAAAUGUUACGAACAAAUAAGCAACCAUGCCGAAUAGUGGGGUCCAGAUUAUGCUCAUUCACAGCCAUAUUUACAUUUUUGCCAUCGUAACGAAGGUUUUUGCAAGACAAUUUGUUUGAGUUUAUUUCAUGGUUAAAUGCUUUACGAUGGUUUAUUUAGUUAUUUGAAUCUGAAAAAAGUGUGCAAAUUUCCCUUGAGACGAUAAAUAACAGAUCGGGUUGGGAUUUUAUUCCAAUAAAAAUACGGAAUAACUAAACAUGGCCUCGUUAAUAUUGCUGCGUAAUGGUCAGGCGAUAGUUCUCAAAUUAGUUGGUCGUGAAUUCGAGACAAAAUUUUAAGCUCAAUGACCUGCUCGUGGAAGGUGCACUUCGCAUUGCUAGGAGCUGGUGUAUAACGCUAGUCCCAAACCAAUGAGCUUUGUGCUUGAGGGUGGAAGCAACUUUUUGAGGAGCAAAUACUACAGUGAGCACAUUCGGAUUUUGCACAAGCUAUUGUCAAUUGCGCUAAGGAUCCCGAUACUGCUGGUCAAGUUUAUCAAGCUGUUGGAUCAAAGCGUUACCAGUUGAACGAAUUAAUUGAAACCUGUCAAUCGUGUUAUGCGCAAAAAUUAAAAAUGCGUUGUAUCCUACCUUCCUAUUGAAAGCCAAGACGUUUGGAUGUACAAUUGACCUCCAUGGAAGAGCAAGUACCAUGGAAAUUGCGACCUUACCGUGCUGCGCAAUAUUAUGAUGCCGAAUUGGGAGAGUGGGAGGAACCAGCUCCACCAAAAUCGAUAGAAGAACUACGUAUGUUUGCAUAAAACUACUAUAAUGGCAACAACGCUAACAACAACAACCAAGCAAAUAUUAAACAACACUCAUCAAAUGAAAGUUGGUGGCGUUGGUGGCCAAGCAGCGAUUUAAAAAGAAAUAUUUGCAUCUACGCGAAUAAGAAUUCGUCUUUACAUCUAGUGAAUUAUGAAUAAGAAAGUAUAUAACUUAUCGCAGUUAUUUGUUUUUAUUAUUGCAUUUAGUUUUACUUUGUGAACAGCAAAACUGGCGGACCCUUUUUCUACCGAUUUUAUAAUUAUAACCCC